rnacentral:rRNA from 1 species
GACGAACGCUGGCGGCGUGCUUAACACAUGCCAGUCGAACGGAAAGGCCCUGCUUGCAGGGUGCUCGAGUGGCGAACGGGUGAGUAACACGUGGGUGAUCUGCCCCUUACUUUGGGAUAAGCCUGGGAAACUGGGUCUAAUACUGGAUAGGACCAUGCUGUAGGUGGUGUGGUGGAAAGAUUAGUUUCGGUAAGGGAUGAGCUCGCGGCCUAUCAGCUUGUUGGUGGGGUAAUGGCCUACCAAGGCGUCGACGGGUAGCCGGCCUGAGAGGGUGGACGGCCACAUUGGGACUGAGAUACGGACCAGACGCCUACGGGAGGCAGCAGUGGGGAAUAUUGCACAAUGGGCGCAAGCCUGAUGCAGCGACGCCGCGUGGGGGAUGACGGCCUUCGGGUUGUAAACUCCUUUCAGCCAUGACGAAGCCCUUGUGGUGACGGUAGUGGUAGAAGAAGCACCGGCUAACUACGUG